GGGUCGCUAGCUCAACGGUAGAGCAACCGGCUCUUAACCGGUAGGUUACAGGUUCGAGCCCUGUGCGACCCA
rnacentral:tRNA from 1 species